UUAAUGGAGAGUUUGAUCCUGGCUCAGGACGAACGCUGGCGGCGUGCCUAAUACAUGCAAGUCGAGCGAGGGUCUUCGGACCCUAGCGGCGGACGGGUGAGUAACACGUAGGCAACCUGCCUGUGAGACUGGGAUAACAUAGGGAAACUUAUGCUAAUACCGGAUAGGGUUUUGCUUCGCCUGAAGCGAAACGGAAAGAUGGCGCAAGCUAUCACUUACAGAUGGGCCUGCGGCGCAUUAGCUAGUUGGUGAGGUAACGGCUCACCAAGGCGACGAUGCGUAGCCGACCUGAGAGGGUGACCGGCCACACUGGGACUGAGACACGGCCCAGACUCCUACGGGAGGCAGCAGUAGGGAAUUUUCCACAAUGGACGAAAGUCUGAUGGAGCAACGCCGCGU
rnacentral:rRNA from 1 species